AUGGGGGUGGAGGCGAGCGAGAGAGUGGGUGUUGCUGAAGAAGCUGGGGAGGCAAGACGAGGGCGGCGUGGCGUUUCGUGGCCGCGGUGGCCGGAGGGGCGGCUCCACGUCACGGUGUAUGAGGUGCCUAGAGGAGGAUGCUGCGGCAGGUUAAACUCCUCUCCCGUUAUUGAGCAGUCCGCAGUGCCGUCACCGUCGUCCUUGCCUUCGAGCCAUCCGUGCCGCCGUCGCCGUCGCCUAGAGGAUGCCGGUAGGAAGCAGCAGCUCGCCGUUUCCUUGGUCCCCGCCGACGCCAAGCAAGAAGAGAAGGUGAGAUCGAAUUCGUUUGAUCUUUCUUUUUCCCUGUCCCUCCCAUGGAUUUUCCCGGAUCUUGGCACGUGUGCUGUAGGUGUAGCAAAUUGGACAAGCUACAUCGCUAAUGCCGGGUGUAUGGAGCUCAGGAAGGCUAUCUGCAACAAGCUUCAGGAGGAUAAUGGUCUAACCUAUAGCCCAGAUCAUGUGCUAGCGACCAAUGGGGCUAAGCAAUGCACUACACACGCUGUUCUUGAUGUUCUCUCAUGUGGUGACGAGGUAAAUUUGAAGCCUAAGGUGCCAACAAAGGUAGUUUGUGCUGAACAUCUUGAGUUACAGAACGAGAUACUCACACUGCUUAACAUACAGUGUUUA
rnacentral:rRNA from 1 species